AACUUUUCCCUCCUUCCAAAAGUCAUUUUCGAUGUAAGAGAGAGCACAAGUCUCUGAAACUUCUCUCUCCAUCACAACCUUGGCUAUUCUCCGUUGAAUACCGUCCAACCUCUGCUUCCAUUCAGAUUCGGCCAACAAGAAUGUCCAGGGCUCCAAUACUCAUCAAGGAUCUGGUCCACAGAAAUAAGGUUUGGAAGAUGCUGAUAAGGGUUGUUGAUUUGUGGGUUGUUAAGGAGAAAACAGGACAUUUAUAUUCAUCGUUUCCUUUCUAUUUCGUUUCUAUUUCACUUACCAUUUUCCACUUCCUCUUUUCCUUUCUAUUUCGUUUUAUGGAUUUGGUUUGAUAUAUGUUGUUGUUAAUGAGCUGUGUUCUUAAAUGUGUCUCAUAGUUGCCCAAUAUUUUUGAUCUUUGAUUCUUGAGGUGUGAGUUUUAAGGAGGGAGAAGCAAUUGAUGAUGCAAUUCGACAUUUAUAUUCAUCGGAUCUGAGAUUUAGUUGGGGUAUCUAUGUUGUUCAGAAGGAAAUCGAUGUUGCUGCCCUUCACCAAAUUAUUGAGGAUGGAAUUAGACAUAUUUUGAUUUGCAUUGUGAUAUUUGAAAUUUAUUGGUUUUAUUGGUUUUUUGGUGUAUUGGCAGGAGUGAUAUUUAAUAAAUUUUCAUGUUUUCCUAAAUGAUGAAAUAUGAGCAUACAUUUGCUUAAAAAAUUUACCCUCAAAUGAACAUACAUUUGCGCUAGGAAUGGUUUUGCAUAUAAAUGAUGAACAUGUAAUGUGUUCCUAUUUUUUGAUUUGGAUUUACUUUGAAAUGCAGAGGGAUUGAUUAUGCACUUGCCAAUGGUGAACCCCCGCCAAAAGCUAAUGAACUGCCUACCUUGAUGAAACAGGUGAUUUCUAAUGCAUAAUGUAGAUUACUCUAUCACUUUUUUCUUACCAUAUUUUAUUAAUUUCUAUGUAAUUAGGUUUGAGGCUUUUACUCUUCCUUUUUUACACAUAUGUAUCAAAGAAAUAUAGAUGAACUAUCACUUGCAGAUGUGAUGGUUUUGAUGAUAUCUGUGAAGGUAAGUUUGUUUCUCGACAUUGAUAAAUUUCUAUUAGUUGUGGGUUAUUAUUCGGUCUUUGCUCUUCAAGAAAAUGCCCACCAACACUGUUUUAUGAGUGGUGAGAGCAUGGCCUAGAAACCUCAAGGGACAGAGCUCAAGUUCCCUUGGGAUCAGUUGUAAAAUGGCCACUACUCACUAGCACUGUUAACUAAGGAUAAAUUGGUAAAAAAUUUCAUGAAAUGUAACCCACCAAGGAAUGCUCCAGCACUGUGCCUAAAAUGAUUUUGGAGCAUUUGUUUAAGUUAUCGAUUUCAAGAAGUUUUCUCUCCAAAUCUGUUUGUUUUUUACUUCUUGAUGAAUUUCAAUUCUCAUCACAAAUUAAAUUUUAGUCCUAUACCACUGUGCCAUAAAGAGUCCACUUGAGAUUUAUAUGAGCCAUGUUGUGUUUGUCUAGAAUCUGGAGUUAUGUAUCCCAACAUUACUUAAGCCAUGAAUUUAUUUCCUUUAUUUCACAGACUAUGUGGAUCUGAUUUUUCAUAUGCAGAGUUUACAUAUUUUAUAACCUCAUUAUUUAUUUGUCAUUAUCUAUAUGGCUUAUUUUCUUACCUUCAUAUUCAGUCGUUUUGAUUACUUAUGAAGACACUAAUUAGACCAUAGCUUGCCUACAAUUGUUUUAGUCAAAACAUUGAGAUUCAUUUUGCUGCAUCCAAACUGUUUCAAAUUGCAAUUUCCUUUGUCAAAUAUGAAAGUCAGUUGAUAUCUUAAGAAAUUUGUUGGCUGCAUUUUCUUAUUUUUCACAAUUUGAAGCCAUUUGUAUCAUACAUAUUUUCUCUUCUCAACUAUUCUUUCUAUAUAUUGACUGUUUGUGUUUCAUGAAUUAGGGAGUUUUGUAAGAAACCAAAAACCCGUUGGAACAAGCAUCUUUGCCUAACCUGUUCUUAGGAAUUCUAGAGUGACCAGCAGUAAUUACUAUCUUGAGUCAUGCGCAAUUGUUAACGGUUUUUUACCUUCUACAAAUAUAAAGUUACUGCAUAAGCAUUUCAGUUUUGAAUAAAGUUUUGAAUAAACUGAUGCAAAGUAUUUUUAAGACACCCAUAAUUGAUGCAGUAGACUAACAAAAUUUCAGUGCCUUCAUUGAUGCUCAGUGCAAAAGUGUAUGGCCUUCAUCUAUUCAACUUAAUUGCAUUUUCAAAUUUUGGUUAGACUUUGAAUCAAUGAUACUACUGACUGCAUAUAAUAUAUUACCCUAAACCAACAACCAUGACUAAUUUGAACACCGCAAACUUUGAUAGUUUUAUUUAUAAUUGAAAGCUCAUGGUUCUGCAGAUUUUGAAAUUGCAUUGUUGUGUGGUUGACAUUGUCGGGUGUUUCCUAUAGUAAAGUUUAGGUGGCUUAAUUAUUCAUGUUUUGGUGGUUCUAGAUUUAUACUGAUUUCCUGGUGAGGGCAUUUAAUUGUAACAAUAUGAACUUAUAUACCUUACUGAUCAUGGCAUAUCUUAUGUUGUGGUUGUAUUUUUUAAUAUAACUUUGUUAGCCAUUUCAAAAAAUAAUUGAAAGCAAAAUUUCUAUGAGUGUCUUUUCUACAUUUCUUCCUUAUCAAACUGUAGUUGUCUCAUUCUUUUCACAUGUCAAAUCUGCAUUUGAAUAGUGUAAAAGGCUUCAAAAUGUGUGGAAGUUGUACAACCUGCAGUAUUUCAAGAUUGUUAUGACAACAUUUUUGUUGCUAGGUGGGCAAAGCAGACCUAAGUAACUUAAAAAAGAUGUCAAAACUGACAAGCUGGAGCUCAACCUACUAAUUCAAGUACAGCUACUCAAUAUUUUUUUCUUUACAUUUGAUUUGUCAUAAUAUUGGGUGUCAAUUUUUGUCAAAAUCUUCCCAUUUCCCAUGAGAGAGAUAUCAAUAGACAGAAAAUUAUAUCAACUAUGACCUUUGUAUUUAGAUUUAGAAUUUUGUGUAGUCCGUCUAAACACCCAUUAUCUCAACUUCUGAUGUCAUUUAGUUACUUGCAAAACUGCUUUUUCAUUACUCAAUUAUUCUUUACAUUCUUCAUCAAUAAAGGUUAAUUUGAAUAAUUUGUCAUGAAUAAUUGACAUGAAUUUGAAGGUCAUUGGCAGAAGGUUUGAUAACAAUGUUAAUUUAAGUUCAAUUUGAAACGACACUAUUGCCUCCACAAGUAAAAGCAUCACACAAUGAAGAUAUUGAAAUGAAUAACGUUGAUACCAUAGUGAAUGGUCAUGGAGAUGAACCAAUUCUGUUUGAUAAUGAUGUUAAUCUUGAAAAUGAAUUUUGGUCUAAUCUACUUUGAAAUUAAUACAUCCCAACGUUUUGUUUUUUUAUUCUCUUUGAAUAUGUCUUUGGUGUGUCAACUUCACUUCUUUAUAUUUUAUGCUUGCUCUAAACUUCUUUGAGCGUGGUUUUUUCCGGAUUCUCUCAAUGAAACAAAUAUCUGUUUGAUUUCAAAGUGUGCUAAACCUCAAACUAUGAAAGAGUUAAGGCCUAUAUCUUUGUGUAAUGUUGCUUAUAAACUGGUGGCUAAAUUACUCGCUAAUAGGAUGAAGAGCUGUUUGGCGAAAUGUGUGUCUGAGGAACAGUCUGCGUUUGUAGAAAAUCGGUCCAUUUUGGAUAAUGCUAUGAUGGCGAUUGAGAUUAUUCAUACUCUUAAGCGGAGAACUAGUGGUAAUAAGGCUCACAUGGCCUUGAAGAUUGAUAUUAGUAAGGCUUAUGAUAGGGUGGUUUCAUACCCCAAAAUUUGCCCAUACAUUUUUUCCUAUUCCAAUUCAAAUCAAGAUGCAAAGCUCCAAGACACACUCUCCUAUACAAGGCUCUAAAACUAGGGUUUGGCUCACUCAAAGGAAAAUCCGUGAAUCAAUGGCUCCAAGACAUCUCAUAUGGAUCAAUAUAUCUCACACUAUCUCUAUGACAAGUAUCAAGGCUCAAUUCAAAGGAAUGGUCACUCAAUUG